rnacentral:tRNA from 1 species
GAAAGCAUAGCUCAGUGGUAGAGUGCAUGCUUAGCAUGCACAAGGUCCUGGGUUCAAUCCCCAGUAUUGCCA